UCUCCGUAGGUGAACCUGCGGAGGGAUCAUUACUGAGUGAGGGUCUCCGGGCCCGACCUCCAACCCUUUUGUGAACCACCUCGUUGCUUCGGGGGCGACCCUGCCUUUCGGCGCGGCGCCCCCGGAGGCUCAUCAAACACUGCAUCUUUGCGUCGGAGUAUCAAUCAAAUUGAACAAAACUUUCAACAACGGAUCUCUUGGUUCUGGCAUCGAUGAAGAACGCAGC
rnacentral:misc_RNA from 1 species